GGGGUGAGUCACGACUGGCUGGCUCCGCUGUGCACCUUCCCAUAGAUGAGGGACUCGGACCUCUCUGGGGGUAAACUGCGCCGCCUGCUCGUCCUAGCCUUGGCCUUGGUUGGGUGCUGGAGUCCUGGGUCUGCCGGGUUUGGCCUCUGGGGCCACGGCUGGCUUUCCCUGAUGUAUGGCAAGAGCCCCGCGCUUGUGCUUCCACUUCUCCUGAGUUUACAGCUCACAGUCCAUUGUCCUACAGAAGCUGUGGAAAUUUACACCUCCGGGGCCCUGGAGGCAGUCAACGGGACAGAUGUUCGGUUAAAAUGCACUUUCUCCAGCUUUGCCCCUGUGGGAGAUGCGCUAACAGUGACGUGGAAUUUCCGACCUCGAGAUGGGGGUCGUGAGCAGUUUGUAUUCUACUACCACAUGGACCCCUUCAGGCCCAUGAGCGGACGGUUCAAAGACCGGGUGGUCUGGGACGGAAACCCCGAGCGGUAUGACGUCUCCAUCUUGCUCUGGAAGCUGCAGUUUGACGACAAUGGGACAUACACCUGCCAGGUGAAGAAUCCACCUGAUGUUGAUGGUCUGGUCGGGACGAUCCGGCUCAGCGUUGUGCACACUGUGCCCUUCUCUGAGAUCUACUUCCUGGCCGUGGCCAUUGGCUCCGCAUGCGCACUGAUGAUCAUCAUAGUGAUCGUGGUAGUCCUCUUCCAGCACUUCCGGAAAAAGCGAUGGGCGGACAGGGCUGAUAAAGCCGAGGGGACAAAAUCAAAAGAAGAGGAAAAACUCAACCAAGGAACCAAGGUCUCUGUUUAUGUGGAUGAUACAGACUAACGCUCUGAGAAGCUGAGGAUUUUUGAGGACAGCAUCAGCAUCCCUUGAAAUCAAUAGAAAUGUUUCCAGCGAUGACCUGUCUGUCGUCCUACAGGUUCUGCAGCACAAACCUGCCCAGAGGAGCGACGCCCCUGCCUGGCAGCUUUGGGUUCUGCCUGAGCCACUAGACUCAGGCUUACCUUCAUUGCUACGGUUCUAUCUAAUUCCAGAGCGCAACUGUGUAUUAGCUUUUGCAAACCAAGAGGUUACAUAUUUGUCCUUCCACAUUCCUAUGGUGUGUGACUCUAUACUCCUGUGUAUACUGGCAUCAGAGGGGUAAGAAGCCAACUAGAUUGUCUGCCAGAACACACCUUUCUCAUAUUUUAAUUUCCUUAAAACAGCACACAGGUGUGCUCAGGGGUCUGAAGAGAUGGCUCAUCUAUCCUCUUGCAGAAGAUCCCAGUUCAGUUCCCAGCAUCCAUUUGGUGGCUCACAACCAUCAGUAUCCAGUUCUAGGGGAUGUGACACUCUCUUCUGGUGUCUGCAGGCACUGAAUGCAUGUGAUACACGCAGGCAGAUCCCCCCCCCAGAUGAAAAUAAAUUAAGUCAUAGAAAGAUGUGCUAACCAUUCCAGCCACUUUUGUUUAAUACCAAAACCCAAAGUCACAUAGGAAGUCUGAUUUUCAUGGCUAUCUUUAAAUGGAAACAUCUUGUUUUACUGAUAUAUUUUUCCAGUAUCCUAGGUUUAUUGUUUUGUCAAUCAUUCCACGGCUUAUAGAUGACAGCACAAAUCUGAGUAACUACAAAAGGUCACAAGAACACCAGGACACCAGCAAGUGCUACCAGGAUGAGCAUCACUUUUGUAUUUAUUUAUUUAUUUUUAGACAGGUUCUCGCUAUGUAGUGCUGGCUGCUCUAGAGCUAACUAUGCAGAAUUGGCCUGAAACCUAGAGACAACCCCCUGCCUCAGCUCUCAAGUGCUUCAAUCAAGGGUGUACCUCCACAUCUAGCCCAACUGUAGGUUUGGAAUGAGCACAGACAGCUUGCUUGCUAUGUGCUCCCAUUCACCCUCACCUCAGAAGAUUCUGUUCAUUUGCAGACUGGAGUUCUUAAGCAAUUUAUUAAGAGACUUUGUGAUACACUAUAACUUAAAA